rnacentral:rRNA from 1 species
CCUACGGGAGGCAGCAGUAGGGAAUCUUUCACAAUGGGCGAAAGCCUGAUGCAGCAACGCCGCGUGCAGGAUGAAGGCCUUCGGGUUGUAAACUGCUUUUAUAAGCGAGAAAUAUGAUGGUAACUUAUGAAUAAGGAUCGGCUAACUACGUGCCAGCAGCCGCGGUCAUACGUAGGAUCCGAGCAUUAUCCGGAGUGACUGGGUGUAAAGAGUUGCGUAGGUGGCAUAAUAAGCAGCUAGUGAAAUCUGGUGGCUCAACCAUUCGAACUAUUAGCGAAACUGUUAGGCUCGAGACCGUUAGAGGUAAGUGGAAUGUCUAGUGUAGGGGUGAAAUCCGUAGAGAUCAGAAGGAACACCAAUAGCGAAGGCAGGUUGCUGGGACAGUUCUGACGCUAAGGCACGAAAGCGUAGGGAGCAAACGGGAUUAGAUACCCGGGUAGUC